AAUGACUGUGAUUGCACUUUAUUAUUCUGAUGUGAGACGCUUUUGCAACAUUAUUGCGCUCUCGUGCUCUUAACGUGCAUGGGGUGGUCACGUGGUAGCACAUGGGUUUUAUCUGCUAGCUAUUGUAUGCUAAUGCUAUUCUUUUUGAAUCUUGUUUUAUAGAUGGCAAAUGAUUGCAACACCUAUUGCACAGGUAAUCACCCUUUAAGAUGCCUCUUGCAUUAUUGUUAAGCAUUUUGAUGUCAUUGAAAUAGCAUGACAUGUGUGGAGCCUCAUGUUACAGUGAUGUCUCACUUGAACUCUCUCACUGAAUUAAUCUCUUGUGGAAACUUAACCUCUUAAACUCUGAGUAGCAUGAAGGUGGCACAGAGAGAGCACAUAAGUAUUAUCUUUAAAAUUUUAUUAAAUGCUUAAUUUGUUUUUAGGUGUGGCCGAUGGGAUGAUACUUCCUACUUAAGAUGUUUGGUCAUCUCUAAAGAUGCACAAGUCUCAUCACUGAAGAUCAUUGGCAGGUCUGCCUUGUCCUCAUGGCUCCAUGGAGUGCCUUUUAAUGGACUAUGGUGGACGUCCCAGAAAAGGUUCAGGAGAGCAGUGCCUCAUUAACAUUAUGUGCUGAAAGAAUACUUGGGUCAAAGCAUGCCGAAGGUCCUGUGAUGAUUCUUGGACUGAAGGAAUGA
rnacentral:lncRNA from 1 species